rnacentral:rRNA from 1 species
UCCUACGGGAGGCAGCAGUGGGGAAUUUUGGACAAUGGGGGAAACCCUGAUCCAGCCAUCCCGCGUGAGUGAAGAAGGCCUUCGGGUUGUAAAGCUCUUUCGAAAGUGAAGAAAACUUAUUUCGUAAUAUGUUAUAAGUAUGACGGUAACUUUAGAAGAAGCACCGGCUAACUACGUGCCAGCAGCCGCGGUAAUACGUAGGGUGCGAGCGUUAAUCGGAAUUACUGGGCGUAAAGCGUGCGCAGGCGGUUUUGUAAGUCAGAUGUGAAAUCCCCGAGCUUAACUUGGGAACUGCGUUUGAAACUACAAGACUAGAGUGUGUCAGAGGGGGGUAGAAUUCCACGUGUAGCAGUGAAAUGCGUAGAGAUGUGGAGGAAUACCAAUGGCGAAGGCAGCCCCCUGGGAUAACACUGACGCUCAUGCACGAAAGCGUGGGGAGCGAACAGGAUUAGAUACCCUGGUAGUCCACGCCGUAAACGAUGUGUGCUAGAUGUUGGAGGGUUACCUUUCAGUGUCGCAGCUAACGCACUAAGCACACCGCCUGGGAAGUACGGUCGCAAGAUUAAAACUCA